rnacentral:misc_RNA from 1 species
GUUUUGAGGGAGAAAGGGAGGUUGGAUGAGGAAAUGGAAAGAAUGGUGAUGAAAUUUCUGGAGGAGAAUAGGAAUGUGGCGGCGCCAGCCAUGGAGAAAGUUAGGAUUAAAGCUUUGAAAUUUGAAGACAGAGCAAAGUUGGCGAAGAAUCCAACUGGGAAGAGAUUGUUUGAAUUGAUGGUCAAGAAGGAGAGUAAUUUGUGUUUGGCUGCUGAUGUUGGGACUGCUGCAGAGUUGCUCCACCUUGCUGAGAAGGUUGGACCAGAGAUUUGCNNNNNNNNNCCCAUGUAGACAUAUUACCUGAUUUUACCCCUGAUUUUGGUUCAAAGCUUCGCUUGAUUGC